rnacentral:lncRNA from 1 species
UAGAUAGAGUGACAUACACUAUCUCAUGAACUAAGAACCUAAGUGUAUUCAAGCACCUAGAACCUUAAUACAAUGAUAAUAGGAACACCUACUCUCUUCGGUGAGCACAAGAGAGACCUCAACCUCCUAUAGCACCCAACGUUCUAAGUAAGAAUGCAAUACUAGUGAUUCCACCCUAGUUAAAAGUUUUGAAUUUGUGCCUCAAGGAGAGAGGACUUGUUUUUCAAUGUUAUACAACAUUCAUUAUCAUCAAAGUCUAAUGACUGAAACCCUAAAAGGUUCUAUUUAUAUAUAUUACAAAAAUAGUAUGAAAUGUCCAUAAUACCCCUCAAGGGUGAGGUGCCCAUCAAGUGCAAGAAGUGGGCUGAUUUUGGUGUGUUUAGGCCCUCCUUUACACUUCACUUGUGCACUUCCUUGGAUGGAUUUAUUACGCACUCAUUCACGUCCAUCCGUGUGGUCAUACUUGUAUCAUCCUCCCCUUCUUGAAAAGGAUUCGACCUUGAAUCCGUACCUCACAAAAUUAAGAGAAGACAACAAGUACACAUCAUCAAGAUAUGAAGGGUUAGGGUUAGUAAAAUACACACAUCACAUUCCAUGACGAGAAGGGGACAAACUUGGAGUAGAUCCACGGGUCCUUUGUGUUAAACAUACAAAGCUUAGUACAAAAGACACAAAGGAAGCGGUCAUCACCCAUAAAAAGAGAUAAGGAAGAACAUUGUCUUCCUUCAUUAGCACCCACAACCAAACAUUACUUGUCAUCUUGACCAAGCAUUAAGUGGGGAGUGUAGAGAUUUCCACAUUCCAAGAGGAUGUCGGGAUCAAAUGGAAAAAUUAGCCAAGGGCCUAAGCCGAGGCUGUCCCUUUCUUCCCCUAGAAUGUCACUCCCACAUUCACACACAAAAAUAUUUUUAUACACAUAGUCUCUAUGAAAAAAACUAAUUGCAAUGCUUUUACCACACAAGAUGUUCAAAGAGUCAUGUGCAUUAUCAAGAUCAAUUCUACAGACAUCAUCACUAACUUGAGAAUUUGUAAGAACACUAUUCACAUGCUCAAGUAGUGAACAACAUUUAAGAGUAAAUUGAUCAUCAUGCACACCAAGAGUACUCAUUUCCGAGACUACACAUUCCUUGCCCAUAAGAGUACUCUCAUCUUCUAAGAAAAGAUUUUCAUCUUUAGGAGGAAUAUUGUCACACCAUAGUGGGUUAGCAUAUCGGCUACAGCCUUCAAGGUAAGCUAUACCAUCAUUUUCACCACUAGGUUCAUUAGGAGUGUUUAUAUCAUCUUCAAAAAGAACAUUAAACGUAAAUAAAGCAUGAUCUAUCUCACAGAUAGAUUUGGAACUAGCAAGUGCUUCGCUCUCUAUAAGUUCACUAUCUUGUACCAAAGAUGUUUCAAUCUCCUCUUUACCUUGGUGUGGGUCGAGGUAACCCACCUCUUUCUUCAGGAAGCUCUCGUCACAAUGUUUUUGGAAAAGGAAAGUUAGAUUUUGUGGGAUAAGUUUAGGUAGCAAUUGGCGUAGCCUUUCCAUGUGCCAUUUCAUUUUUUCAAUAUAGUCGGUGAUGCGGUCAAACGUGACAUCGGGAUUGGUGGCAGCCAUGGUACCUAAAGAAAAGACAACAAUGAACAACAAAACAAACAAACUUGUUAGCUCAAAAAUGUAUCACCACACUCUCACUCUCGAUUUUUACCUCACACUUAGUUUCACAAGUGUUGAAAGUCGGCUUGUACUUCAUGAGAGAUUGAGGGAUGAGUCUAUCUUUGCCCGAAAUAGAUUUUUGUUUGAGUUGACUCAAAAGAAAAUUUGUUUACGGACUUGAACCAACAAGACACAAUGAAUUCACAAAAGAGAAAAACACACAACAAACGCUUAACACGAUGAACGGACACAAAAACUAACUAACAAUCUAGUAGAUGAGUACUAGUUUGCCAAUUAGUAGUGGAACCAACAAAAUUGAAACUAAGGAACAACAAAAGGAAACAAAGAAAUCUGAAAUUUGAGCCAAAAUUUGAUGUGUGAACAGUACUUGAUGACAUGGCAGUCACGUAUUGGUUGCGGUUUCUAUAAUUUUUAUUUUUCAAAGUCCAAGUCUGGACCAAUUUUAAUUAGGAUUGGUAGAAUUUAUUUUAAGGAGGGAAGAAUAAGUCUUGGAGCCUUUCAAGUUUCAAAUUUCAAGACUUGACUUUUGUAGUACUUUUCCUUAAAACAUGGACCCUUGUUUCAUAGGAAAGUGGUUGAGAAGUGAUGUAAAGUCUUUUGGUGGUUGGGGGAGUCUUUGAGUCACAAGUACUACACCUUGAAACUUGGAUCUAUGUCUUGCAAGACUAACACAAUUCAAACUCUUUUUGGUGAAGAACUUAAAGAACAACAACAACCACACCAAGAACAAUAAAAACAAUCUUCAAGAACAACAACAAUUCCAACGGCCAACUCCAAUCCACAACAACAAACGGCCAAGUCUCUUUAGUUUUGUGUCUUCGGUUUUAACAAGAGAUGAAGGUUGUGAAGAACUUCAAGAACAACAACAUUCACCAAGAAUAACAACAACACUCCUUUCAACAACAACAACCAAAUACACGGCCAAUCAAGUUGCUCAACAACAAUGUCUACCACAAUAAUGUUCAACAACAAUAGGUCAAGCUUAUGUUCAUAAUAACAACAUCAAAAUACAAGCUCAAAUCAAGAUAUAGACUCAAUGUGUUAGUGAGGAACAAAACUAACACCUAUAGACAACAAAUAAAAAUAAAAAUCUCGGCCAAGACACAACAAAAAUACAAUUUUUGGCCAAGAACACAAAAUGGACAGAUUAUUCUUUUUCUGGAAUUUUUAGAUUUCAAUUUUUAUUUUUUUUUGAAUUUUCAAGUGAGCUAGCCCAAGAUUUGAUCUUGUAGGAACAAGAUCAAUCCAUGCUAUGAUACCAAAUUAUACGGUAUUGACCAUGAACACACAAAACACACACUCAAAAUAGUCCACAAGUUCAAGAGAACCGAGGACCCUUUGAGUGACCCCUCUCGGAUUCAAGAUCUACAACAAAAACACAAUGUACUGAGGUGAUUAACACCUAUUUUAAGCGAAUAACAAACUAGAUUAACAACAUGAGAAUGAAGGACAAGAUGAACUUAACAAUGAGAAUAACAACAACAACACAAACGGGUACAAUACGAGAUACAAACAUUACAAGAUUGCAAGAAUAGAAAGGAUAGAUAGAGUGACAUACACUAUCUCAUGAACUAAGAACCUAAGUGUAUUUAAGCACCUAGACCCUUAAUACAAUGAUAAUAAGAACACCUACUCUCUUCGGUAAGCACAAGAGAGACCUCAACCUCCUAUAGCACCCAACAUUCUAAGCAAGAAUGCAACACUAGUGAUUCCACCCUAGUAUCACCCUAGUUACAAGUUUCAGAUUUGUGCCUCAAGGAGAGAGGACUUGUCUUUCAAUGUUAUACAACAUUCAUUAUCAUUAAAGUCUAAUGAAUGAAACCCUAAAAGGUUCUAUUUAUAGAUAUUACAAAAAUAGUGUGAAAUGUCCAUAAUAACCCUCAAGGGUGAGGUGCCAAUCAAGUGCAAAAAGUGGGCUGAUUUUGGUGUGUUUAGGCCCUCCUUUACACUUCACUUGUGCACUUCCUUGGACGGAUUUAUUACGCACUCAUUCACGUCCAUCCUCAUG